rnacentral:misc_RNA from 1 species
UACGGGGCGCAGCAGUGGGGGUGGACAAUGGGGGAAGCCUGAUCCAGCCAUCCCCGCGUGUGCGAUAGAAGGCCUUCCGAGUUGUAAACACUUUUGGCAGGAAAAAAGAAAGCAGCGCAGGAUAAUACCCAUGCCUUUGGCAUACCCUGCAGAAUAGGCACCGGCUAACUGCAAUGCCAGCAGCCAUGACAGCCGUAGGGUGCAAGCGUUAAUCGGAAUUACUGGGCGUAAAGCGUGCGCAGGCGGUUCGGAAAGAAGAUGUAGAAAUCCCAAACUUAACUUUGGAACUGCAUUUUUAACUGCGAGCUAGAAGUGUGUCAAGAGGAGGUGGAAUUCCGCGUGUAGCAGUGAAAUGCGUAAGGUAUGCGGAGGAACACCGAUGGCGAAGCAGCCUCCUGGGGCUGCGAGCGCUCAUGCACGAAAGCGUGGGGAGCAAAACAGUUGAUACCCUGUAGU